GACGAACGCUGGCGGCGUGCUUAACACAUGCAAGUCGAGCGAUGAAGUUCCUUCGGGAAUGGAUUAGCGGCGGACGGGUGAGUAACACGCGGGUAACCUGCCUCAUAGAGGGGAAUAGCCUUCCGAAAGGAAGAUUAAUACCGCAUAAGAAUGUAGUACCGCAUGGUAUAGCAAUUAAAGGAGCAAUCCGCUAUGAGAUGGACCCGCGUCGAAUUAGCAAGUUGGUGAGGUAACGGCUCACCAAGGCGACAAGGCGGAGCCGACCUGAGAGGGUGAACGGCCACAUUGGGACUGAGACACGGCCCAGACUCCUACGGGAGGCAGCAGUGGGGAAUAUUGCACAAUGGGGGAAACCCUGAUGCAGCAACGCCGCGUGAGUGAUGACGGUCUUCGGAUUGUAAAACUCUGUCUUCAGGGACGAUAAUGACGGUACCUGAGGAGGAAGCCACGGCUAACUACGUGCCAGCAGCCGCGGUAACAC
rnacentral:rRNA from 1 species